rnacentral:lncRNA from 1 species
CUUUAGUGAGUCUGUAGGAUGCAAACUGUCUUCACAAACUCUGCAGGAAGUUUCUGGUGGAGAGUUUCUGGGCACUUUGGGGGUGGUUUAAGUGUGUGUAGAGGGGUGUGGAUAGGAAGGUGGGGCAACAUAAAGGAAAUGAAGUGAUUCAUGCUCAACUGCGAUUGCCUGAGCAUUAAAUUCAAUCAGCGGGAAACCCAAUCUCCCCACUGCAAAGGGAAACGUCCAACUUGGAGUGUUGCUCUCCAAGCAACACAGCCUUCACCCUCUCCUGAUGGGACCUACCCAGGCGGUUCACCAAGGACCCCUCCAGAGCUCUCAAGUGCAUGGGUAGUUCUCAGACUUCAUGUUUUCUAUGGCUGUUGAGCUGUUUGCACCUCCUUUGGGAAGAGCAGAGGUUGGAAGGUGGGAAACUGUGGCCUAUCACAGAAGUACCCUCUUCUUAUUAGUCCUGGGUAAGGAGGUGGCACUGACCUGGUCCUGAAGGAUGAAUAGGAGUUUGUCAGGGAGCUCCUGGUUCCUCUGAUUCCUCCUCCUAAGAACGCAUAGACCAGACUGGUUUCUAGGUUUCCUAGAAGUCCAGAACAAGGCCACCCCUGAAACAGCUGUGUCUCAGAGAAUAAAAAAUCAUUCAAACUAAAUAGAAGACAAGAACCAUUCAUUACCCAGAACCGUUC